CAGUAGCCGCGGUAAUACGUAGGGUGCGAGCGUUAAUCGGAAUUACUGGGCGUAAAGCGUGCGCAGGCGGUUCGUUAAGACAGAUGUGAAAUCCCCGGGCUUAACCUGGGAACUGCAUUUGUGACUGGCGGGCUAGAGUAUGGCAGAGGGGGGUAGAAUUCCACGUGUAGCAGUGAAAUGCGUAGAGAUGUGGAGGAAUACCGAUGGCGAAGGCAGCCCCCUGGGCCAAUACUGACGCUCAUGCACGAAAGCGUGAGGAGCAAACAGGAUUAGAUACCCGUGUAGUCCCUGUCUCUUAUAC
rnacentral:rRNA from 1 species